GGUGUUAAUCAUCAAUGUAUUGAUUUUAAACAUUCAUAUACAUUAAUACACCAAUCAAAAUAAGAGAAAUUUGACUUUGGAAAUUUAUAACUUACCCAUGCCCACGCCUUUACUUGGGCCAAAGCAAAAAUUGCAACAGGAACCACCACUGCAUUAUUGAAAAUUAUCCUAUUCCUAUGAUUCCAAAUUCCCCAAAUAAUAGAAAUCCACAUAN
rnacentral:lncRNA from 1 species